AGAGCUUCCAACUGCUGCAGGAUGGAGGCGAAGUCGGGCCUGCGGUGGGGGUCCUGUGCCCAGCAGUCUAAUGGGGCAGGAAACAGAUGAACUAAACCAAAUGAAACAAACGAGUGAAUGCAUGAAUCGUCAACAUCGUCUCACAGAUGAGGAAACAGCAGGGAAACAGUCAUGGUCACAGCAAACAUUCUCUUAGCCUGUGGCUCCAGAGCUGAUGUUCUAGCUCUUUCCUAACACUGAAUGGAAUAAAAACUGUGUUGUGGUGGUU